rnacentral:rRNA from 1 species
GAUGAACGCUGGCGGCGUGCCUAAUACAUGCAAGUCGAGCGAACAGACGAGGAGCUUGCUCCUCUGACGUUAGCGGCGGACGGGUGAGUAACACGUGGAUAACCUACCUAUAAGACUGGGAUAACUUCGGGAAACCGGAGCUAAUACCGGAUAAUCUAUUGAACCGCAUGGUUCAAUAGUGAAAGACGGUUUUGCUGUCACUUAUAGAUGGAUCCGCGCCGCAUUAGCUAGUUGGUAAAGUAACGGCUUACCAAGGGAACCAUUGGUAGCCGGCCGUAAGGGGUGAUCGGCCACACUGGAACUGAGACACGGUCCAGACUCCUACGGGAGGCAGCAGUAGGGAAUCUUCCGCAAUGGGCGAAAGCCUGACGGAGCAACGCCGCGUGAGUGAUGAAGGUCUUCGGAUCGUAAAACUCUGUUAUUAGGGAAGAACAAAUGUGUAAGUAACUAUGCACGUCUUGACGGUACCUAAUCAGAAAGCCACGGCUAACUACGUG